rnacentral:rRNA from 1 species
ACGCUCGACACCUACGGGAUGCAGCAGUGGGGAAUAUUGCACAAUGGGGGAAACCCUGAUGCAGCGACGCCGCGUGAAGGAAGAAGUAUCUCGGUAUGUAAACUUCUAUCAGCAGGGAAGAAAAUGACGGUACCUGACUAAGAAGCCCCGGCUAACUACGUGCUAGCAGCCGCGGUAAUCUGAGCGGGCUGGCAAGGC